GAGUGGCAAAUCAAAGGCAUUGCAGCCUCUUUCAUCACUGCCAAUUGCUGAUGCCAACCAUGUGCCAAGUGCUUAAUACGUCACCUUAAAUCUUCUCAUCCACCCUCAGAGAUUGUCAGUAGCUGCAGCAUCAACCCAGUGCCCUGACUUUCGAGACGACUAUGAAAACACCCCAACUGCUGCUAAAUUACCAGCAACAAGGAUCUGUUUUAUUUUUAUAUGCUUGUUUCCACAUUAAAUAUUACAAAUUUACAGAUCCAAUGAUAAAAGGACAAAGCAUUGUAAUGGGUGCAGUGCAAAAGGAAGUCUUGGGACAAGAAAGAAGAUAGACAGGAAGCUACUGCCCUAAUCAGCAUUCUUACUAAAAAGAAAGAACACUGAAAUUGACCUUACCCUGACAAUAUGAUGGCUGAAGGAUUUAUGAUCACUUAUAACAUUUGAAAUUGAGGC
rnacentral:lncRNA from 1 species